CAUGUUGAAAGAUGCAAUGGCAACAAUGUGGAUUGUCAACACUAAAAACAAUCAGUAAGCAAAGACAACAGGGAUCACUUUUUUCUGUUUAUUUAGCACCCACAACAUUUGUAGUCGCCUUCUGCACAGGGGAAGUCCACACACACUGUGUGGUACCACUUUCCACAGAAGGUGCAUUCAAUCUGAAAGACUGAAUGAGAUUGUCAGGGUCAUUGUCUGACUGUUUAUUACUAAUCACCUGCUGUACAUUCACAGUAACUGCCAUCUCCUUACAGAUGUUUAUUAGAUUAACCACACUUAUACAGACUGUAUAUAACAACCAACUCUAAAAUGUUUGUUCGCAGAGAAAAGACACAGACAGACUACGCUAACGACAUGUGAUGUUACAACACUAGUGAAAUAUUAGUGUCAUUUCAUUCUUUUCAAAGGUUUAUUUGCAUGACGCACAAACAGACACAAUUGAAAGGUACAAAUGUGUUGUGCAUGAAACGAAUUCAAACGUGCUGCAGAUGUGUGUCACAAGUUGAUCUGGCUGUAGGCUGUGGCACUUGGCCAGAGGUGGCGCUGGUUGACUCGACUCCAUGUUAGUGCACAAAGUAAACUGCUCGCUUUAGUUGUGAAGCAAAAACGCUGAAUUCGGAGAAAUAAACCGUGCGAGGGGAACGAUAACGACGACAAGAGUCUCCCGAUCGUUUACUCUUGGUGUCCUGUGAACAACAUCGGCGUGGUGUUAAUUGUUUGCUGUUUUCGCGAUCGCGUCGCGCGUGAGGAUAUCACCAGCUGCAGAAAACGGUUCACUGUCAGCCGGCGGUGUUUGUCACCUCCCUGGCUGCUGUGGAGAGACUCAACCAAGAAAACCCCAAAGCCAUUGAGAUGUGUGUCGCUGCUGCAGGUUUCAGUGUCGGAGAAUUUGCUGCUCUUGUCUUUUCUGGGGCGAUGAACUUUGCAGAAGGAGUAAAUGCAGCUCAACUCCCAGUCCUACUGCCAGUUUCUGGAAGACACCUUCUUCAAGCA